UACGAAGGGGACUAGCGUUGUUCGGAAUUACUGGGCGUAAAGGGUGCGUAGGCGGGUCUUUAAGUCAGGGGUGAAAUCCUGGAGCUCAACUCCAGAACUGCCUUUGAUACUGAGGAUCUUGAGUUCGGGAGAGGUGAGUGGAACUGCGAGUGUAGAGGUGAAAUUCGUAGAUAUUCGCAAGAACACCAGUGGCGAAGGCGGCUCACUGGCCCGAUACUGACGCUGAGGCACGAAAGCGUGGGGAGCAAACAGG
rnacentral:rRNA from 1 species